rnacentral:rRNA from 1 species
UACGUAGGGGGCAAGCGUUGUCCGGAUUUAUUGGGCGUAAAGAGCGUGUAGGCGGCUUGGUAGGACCGCUGUGAAAACUCGAGGCUCAACCUCGAGAUGUCGGCGGAAACCACUUGGCUAGAGUCCGGAAGAGGAGAGUGGAAUUCCUGGUGUAGCGGUGAAAUGCGCAGAUAUCGGAAAGAACACCAACGGCGAAAGCACUCUGCUGGGCCGACACUGACACUGAGAGACGAAAGCUAGGGGAGCGAAUGGG